rnacentral:rRNA from 1 species
UCCGUAGGUGGAUAAUUAAGUCAGAGGUGAAAUCCUGCAGCUCAACUGUAGAAUUGCCUUUGAUACUGGUUAUCUUGAGUCAUUAUGAAGUGGUUAGAAUGUGUAGUGUAGCGGUGAAAUGCAUAGAUAUUACACAGAAUACCGAUUGCGAAGGCAGAUCACUAAUAACGUACUGACACUGAGGGACGAAAGCGUGGGGAGCGAACAGGAUUAGAUACCCUGGUAGUCC